CGAACGCUGGCGGCGUGCUUAACACAUGCAAGUCGAACGGAAAGGCCCUGCUUUUGUGGGGUGCUCGAGUGGCGAACGGGUGAGGAACACGUGAGUAACCUGCCCUUGACUUUGGGAUAACUUCAGGAAACUGGGGCUAAUACCGGAUAGGAGCUCCUGCUGCAUGGUGGGGGGUGGAAAGUUUCGGCGGUUGGGGAUGGACUCGCGGCUUAUCAGCUUGUUGGUGGGGUAGUGGCUUACCAAGGCUUUGACGGGUAGCCGGCCUGAGAGGGUGACCGGCCACAUUGGGACUGAGAUACGGCCCAGACUCCUACGGGAGGCAGCAGUGGGGAAUAUUGCACAAUGGGCGGAAGCCUGAUGCAGCAACGCCGCGUGCGGGAUGACGGCCUUCGGGUUGUAAACCGCUUUCGCCCGUGACGAAGCGUGAGUGACGGUAAUGGGUAAAGAAGCACCGGCUAACUACGUG
rnacentral:rRNA from 1 species